rnacentral:rRNA from 1 species
UACAGAGGUCCCAAGCGUUGUUCGGAUUCACUGGGCGUAAAGCGUGCGCAGGCGGCUAUGCAAGACAGAUGUGAAAUCCCCGGGCUCAACCUGGGAACUGCAUUUGUGACUGCAUAGCUAGAGUACGGUAGAGGGGGAUGGAAUUCCGCGUGUAGCAGUGAAAUGCGUAGAUAUGCGGAGGAACACCGAUGGCGAAGGCAAUCCCCUGGACCUGUACUGACGCUCAUGCACGAAAGCGUGGGGAGCAAACAGG